rnacentral:rRNA from 1 species
AUAGGCGUAGGCGAUGGGAAACGGGGUAAUAUUCCCGUACUUGGUGUUACUGCGAAGGGGGGACGGAGAAGGCUAUGUUGGCCGGGCGACGGUUGUCCCGGUUUAAGCGUGUAGGUGUGUGUUCCAGGUAAAUCCGGUUCACUUUAACACUGAGGCGUGACGACGAGGCACUACGGUGCUGAAGCAACAAAUGCCCUGCUUCCAGGAAAAGCCUCUAAGCAUCAGGUAACAUCAAAUCGUACCCCAAACCGACACAGGUGGUCAGGUAGAGAAUACCAAGGCGCUUGAGAGAACUCGGGUGAAGGAACUAGGCAAAAUGGUGCCGUAACUUCGGGAGAAGGCACGCUGACACGUAGGUGAAGUGAUUUACUCACGGAGCUGAAGUCAGUCGAAGAUACCAG